AGAUGUUUAGAAGAAAUGUCAUGCAGCUCGGGCGCCAGGGGAUGCAGGUAAGGUGCAGGGGUGUGUGACAAGACUACAAGCCUGUUUCACGCCAGUUGACGCUUCUUUCAGAGGCCAGUGAAGCUAAACAAUCCACGAAAGCUAAACACAGGAAAAAUUUGAGUAAUACACAGUACAUUGCACACAAAGUAAGGCCUUCACACUCAAAGAGAUUUAGGAAAAUACACUAGUUACCUGCCAACCAUAAACGUGAUGAAAACCAUUUUGCAGAGUGGAUAUUAAUGAAAACCUUUUUGAACAUGACAGAUUUACCUGUGCAGUGUCACAUAAACCUUACCGCUAAUGGGAAAACACCUAUUAAGGAAAGAUCCGUGUAUCCUAUGGACUACUUCUGAAUCGGAAGACUACUACUAUGAGUAAGGACAUGCUGGGAGUUGUAGUGGUGCAGCGCAGGAAGCAGGAGAUGUGGUGCAGCGCGGACAUAAAUUCCUGACCACUGCAAAGUGAAAGCUGAAAAUUGCUUAGGGUAAUGGAAACCAAAAAUAACACGCUGUGAUUAAAUUGGCGCCAAAUCACAGGCUACCGCAUUGGCAAACUCAGCUAUGCUACAUCUGUAAGAACAAGAUAACAGGGAGAUGACCAAUUGUUGAUUCCAAAAGUGAUUGUUUGAAGAAAGAAUAAAUUCAUUCUAGAAGCAGAAAGUCUUUGGAAGCGACUGACCUCCUGCAAUAUAUGAGCCUUCAAGCAAAUCAGAAGAUUUAAAACAAAGUUAUGGCUAAACCUGCCAUUAAUAAUGUAUGUAAAAUAAAUCGGGUUUCAACUAUAAUUGAAGACUUAAUAAAUAUACCAGUCACAAUGUGUGAGAAACACAAUGUCCUGGACCUGUCAUAGAUUUAAAGCGCAAAUAAAUA